rnacentral:lncRNA from 1 species
UACUCUUCCCAUAUAUGAGCACUAAUUCCUAGGGUUCAGCUUGGACUUUAGAGUGUGUUUUUAGCAUAGGGGGAUCACAUCAUACCCUUCUUAUUUGAAAAGAUUCAUCCUUAAAUCUUGACUAUCUUUAUCCCAGAGUUAUACUUGUGAGUAAUCUCUAAAGUCUUACAAGAUAUCAUCAUUGUAAAUAAAAGAAUUAGUAAAUAAACAUGACUCAUCUUGGCUGCAGGUUUCCUCUCAAUCUUUUGUAUCUUCCAUGAUAGGAUGCUCGACCUUUGCAGGCGCUUGAAUCUCCUCUUGACAAUGAGAGCUCUCUGUCACAUCAUUAUGUGAUUGGAUUGCCUCUUCUCUUAAUGCCUCUCACAUUAAUUCCCUCACUCAUUAAGAAGAUAUUGGAAUUUCCAUAUAGAAUACCAUAUUCCAUUAAAAUCUUCAUGAAAAUUCAUUGUGAUAAACCUGUAAGAAAAGUUAGUGGAAAAUAAGACUCCCUCAUAAUUAAUCGUGUUUACUUAUCUCUCAAUCAUCUUCCCUCAAGUUGAGCAUCAAGAUUGAUUCCUCUAGAAUCAAGGAACUUAAGUUUGACUUACGAAAGAAGAUUACAGAAUAAUGUUAUAUGUAAUGCAAAACAUAAGGACGAAGAUGGUGUAGGAUAGGUACAACGAAUAUCAAAUGUAUAUAUAUUAAUUUUAUUUAUUUGACGGGUAUGAAUGGAUAUAGUAAAUAUACAAGGGAUAACUAAUGGAAUUAAAAAAAUACAAUGCAAGAUAAUAGCAUUUAUCUUGAGUUUAAGCUAUAAUACCAAAUGAUGCAAAACUCAGGAUCAACUCGCAUGAUAAAAACCCACAUAUAGUAUUAAUAUGUAAAAAACUUCAAACUCUAAAUAAACCCUUCCUACUUAUCCCAUAUUCAACCUGUGAAUGCAAAGUAAGGAAUUGGGAUAAACUAAAUUGACUAAAUCUCUUAAAAAUUUAUUUUUAUAAGUAAAAUCAACUCAAAGAUAGAUUGAAAAAAUGUCGCAGGGAAAUUACCUUGAUAAAUAGAAUCAAUCGUUCACUCAAUCAAGAUGGUUAACGACAACCUCUCAAAAAACACUCACAAUAUUCAAGGUUAAAGCAAACUUGAAUUGAAUGUUUUUGGCAUAGUCGAGAUCNNNNNNNNNNNNNNNNNNNNNNNNNNNNNNNNNNNNNNNNNNNNNNNNNNNNNNNNNNNNNNNNNNNNNNNNNNNNNNNNNNNNNNNNNNNNNNNNNNNNNNNNNNNNNNNNNNNNNNNNNNNNNNNNNNNNNNNNNNNNNNNNNNNNNNNNNNNNNNNNNNNNNNNNNNNNNNNNNNNNNNNNNNNNNNNNNNNNNNNNNNNNNNNNNNNNNNNNNNNNNNNNNNNNNNNNNNNNNNNNNNNNNNNNNNNNNNNNNNNNNNNNNNNNNNNNNNNNNNNNNNNNNNNNNNNNNNNNNNNNNNNNNNNNNNNNNNNNNNNNNNNNNNNNNNNNNNNNNNNNNNNNNNNNNNNNNNNNNNNNNNNNNNNNNNNNNNNNNNNNNNNNNNNNNNNNNNNNNNNNNNNNNNNNNNNNNNNNNNNNNNNNAAUGUAGGUCAAGUAGGGAGGAUUUUUUAAGAGUUUAAGAUCUGCAUACUGAUGUGUAUGUGAAUUUUUUAUCAUAUGGUGAUCAUAGGUACGCAUACUUACAUAAGCAAUAAUCUUUCCAUGUUGCAUUAGUACAUAGUCCAACCCUUUAGUGGAAGCAUCACUAUAUAUCACAUAACCACCCAUGGCAUAAAAAAUUGUUAACACCAAUCUAGUGAUCAAACAAUGCUUAAGUUCGAUGUUCUUUUUAGUUAGCCGAGUGAACGGAGCUUCAAUGUUUGAAAACCUUCCACAAAUUAGUGGUAAUAUUCUACUAGUCCUAGGAAACUCUUAAUUUCAGUAAUAAUUGUUGGUUGCUUCCAAAUUAUUACAGCUUCGACCUUAGAGGGAUUUACAGAUACACCAUCUCUUGAGACAAUAUAUCCUAGAAAAAAGAUAUGUUCAAGCCAAAACUUGCACUUACUCAACUUAGCGUACAACCAAGCUUUUCUGAGGAUUUCUAAUGCAUAAGUCAAAUGUUUUGAAUGCUUUUCUCAGUUCUUGGAAUAUAUUAGGAUGUCAUCUAAGAAAAUAAUUAUGUACUGAUCCAGAAGGAGCUUGAAUACGCUAUUUAUUGAUUCCAUAAAUACUAUAGGCACAUUUUUCAAUCCAAAAGGCAUGACCAGAAAUUUGCAAUGGCCAUACCUAGCUUGAAAUGUUGUUUUAGUGACAUCCUCUACUCUAAUCCUCAACUAAUGAUAUCUUAAACGUAAAUCUCUUUUUAAAAACACUUACAUUCUCUGUAUAAGAUGAAAAAGCCCAUCUAUUUUCGGGAGUGGGUACUUAUUUUUAAUAGUUGCAUGGUUUAGAUCCCUAUAAUCUAUGCAUAGUCAUUUUGUUCCAUCUUUCUUCUCGACAAAUAAAACCAGUGUGUCCCAAGGUGAUACACUUGGUCGAAUGAACCUUUUGUCUAACAGUUCUUGUAGUUGCUUCUUCAGUUCCUCUAAUUCAGGCCUUGUCAUUCUGUACAGGGCUUUAGAAAUUAAUUGUGUUCCUAGUUGGAAUUCGAUUGAGAAUUUAACCUCUCUAUCAGGAAAUAGACUUGGGAGGUCUAUAGGGAAUACAUAAGGAAAAAUUUUGAUCACUAAUAUAUCCUGAACCAUGGCCUUUUUAUUCUCGUUCACUAUCAAACAUAUUAAUAGAAUCCAUAAAAGAAAAAAACAUUUUUAUUACAUUUAUUUUUCUGAAGCACUUUUUCAUCGUUUUUAAUAUUCGUGUAUUAUAGGACAAGAAUAUUAGUAAUUUUUUAAAUAGAAAAUGUUCUUUAUUGAGGAUCUUACUAAUGUAGUCCACAUUUGUAAGGUAGGAUGUCAACCAGUCUAUUCUUAAGAUUAUCUCAAAAUUUUUAAUAUUCAAUAGUGUUAAAUCUACCUCUAAUUCUCUAGUUGCAACUUUUAUAGUACAAGAUUUAUACACUACAUCAGCAUAUAAAAUAUUAUUCAUCACUGUGGACGUUGCUAAAAUCCAAUUCAAGGGAAUUGGAUUGACUUUCAAACACAGUGCAAAUGCAUGUGAAAUAAAUGAAUGUGUGGACUCAGGAUCAAUUAAAACUUUAGCGAGAUGUUUAUAGAUAGAAAACAUAUCCUGGAUUACGUCUAGUGUUGCCUCUGAAUCUUAAGUGUUGAUGGUAAAUACUCUGCCCUAAACGAGUGGUUUGUCUUGCUUUGUGAUUCUUAGGAAGUCUUAGAUAAGAUGUUGAGUAUUAUCGCACUUGAAAUAACCACACAUUGUACAAACAUAUUAGAGUAACAGGGUCGAUCAUCAUGAUUCCUACCACAGCGUGUGCAGCUUUGUGUAUUCAUGACCAUUGAGAUCCUAGGUGUGGAGAUAUGAACUGCCAUCUAUUUCUGACGCGAGGAGCCUCAAGAUCAAAACACAUUGAUCAUGAACCCACAUCUACACAAGUAUGCAAAAACUUAAUUCCCUAAUUAGACCCUCAUUACUUAAAUAACAUUCAAUAACUNNNNNNNNNNNNNNNNNNNNNNNNNNNNNNNNNNNNNNNNNNNNNNNNNNNNNNNNNNNNNNNNNNNNNNNNNNNNNNNNNNNNNNNNNNNNNNNNNNNNNNNNNNNNNNNNNNNNNNNNNNNNNNNNNNNNNNNNNNNNNNNNNNNNNNNNNNNNNNNNNNNNNNNNNNNNNNNNNNNNNNNNNNNNNNNNNNNNNNNNNNNNNNNNNNNNNNNNNNNNNNNNNNNNNNNNNNNNNNNNNNNNNNNNNNNNNNNNNUUGUGCUUAAUUUGUAUUUGAGAAACCCUAAUUAUGCGGACGUAGGCCAUACUAACUCAUCUAUUUUAUUCAGCAGCUUCUUAUCGUAAUUCGUAAAUUAUGUCGAUUUUUAUUUUGAUUUUAUUUAAUUUUAGUUGAUUUUAUUUUAAUCUAAUUAUUUAUUAUUAAACAAAUUUCAGAAGAACGAAAAACAUGAGAAAAUCCCGCGAUGAAGGGUUGCACGCACGGGCGCUUGUGCGCUGUGUGUGCGCACGUGUGACACAUCAAUCCUACAUGCAUCUUGUCGCGCGCAGGUAGGCCAUCCGCAUGUCACCUCGUACAGGGAGAGGCACUGCACAUUGUGCGUGCGCCGUCCGCACAAUAGACCUGCACGAAUAGGCCCCUUUACCCUUGGGGCCCGCGUACAGUAGGCCUGCGCGCACAGCACCCAUUGUGCAUAAGCCCUGGCGCGUGCAGGCUAGCUCUUGCACGCACGGCAGGGUAGUCCUGCACCUGCAAGAUAGCCCUGUAGCGCACUGGGUGGGUGAGGCCACUGUCGCCUCGGGCAGUCUGCCACCACCCACCUUGGGCGGCGUGCCGCUGCUUUUAACACCAUCGUCGAUGGAGGUCUUCUUCAUCUAUUUUUUAUGUUGAGCAUCUUUUUCUCUCUCUUUUCACUGGAUUUUACCACUUGGUGUAAAUCUAACGACCCCAAUUUUUUAUCAAUAGGGGCCAUUCCUUCCCAUUUUCUCCACACUUUCAUUCUUCCACGUUUAAGGAAUUAGAGAGAGAGAAAGAAAAUAAUUUAGAGAUAGAAUGAGAUAAAGAAAAGAGGAACAGUGUAAAAGAAAUUAUCGAAGUUUUAGUAUGGAAUUUAGUAUUUCUUCAAAUGUCUUAAAGGGUAUUUUUAGAUAAAAAGAAAAGAUAAAAUUGAUAAUUUGUUAUUUUGCCUGUUUUGCAUGCUUUGUGUUUAUAGGUUUAAUAAAUUGAAUUUCAUGAUUUCAAGCAUACUAUGUCACUUAUAGACGCUUGAUGACCUGCAUAUAAUUAUAAUAAUAUGAAACUGGUAAGGUUAUCUGGAAAAAUUAAAAGAAAAGAACAAAAAAAAAAAAGUAGAAUGAAGCAUGAAUGGUCCGAAGUAUGUAUAUGUAUUGACAUGCAUAAUGUAUCAAAUAUCUCAUUAGCCUUUUUNNNNNNNNNNNNNNNNNNNNNNNNNNNNNNNNNNNNNNNNNNNNNNNNNNNNNNNNNNNNNNNNNNNNNNNNNNNNNNNNNNNNNNNNNNNNNNNNNNNNNNNNNNNNNNNNNNNNNNNNNNNNNNNNNNNNNNNNNNNNNNNNNNNNNNNNNNNNNNNNNNNNNNNNNNNNNNNNNNNNNNNNNNNNNNNNNNNNNNNNNNNNNNNNNNNNNNNNNNNNNNNNNNNNNNNNNNNNNNNNNNNNNNNNNNNNGGAACCACUAGCUGACAUACCCAUUAAAGUUUAUGAGGAUCCUGCGGAUCCACAAAACUUAAGUACAUAAUCAUUCCCACACUCUGAUGAGUCCAAUAACAUAGUAAAAGAAGUGGCCUUCUUUUGUAUUUGGACAUCCUUCUUUGAAACGGUGCAAGAACCACCUCUUCAAAAGGCAAAAGCCUAUUUUAUUCUACAAUUUUUUUUACAACCAUGUGCAUUCAGACUUACACAGUUCAUUAAGUACUACAUUUUUUUUAUAAAACACAAUGUACAUCGCAAAUAAAUUGGUAAGAAUAUCUUCUAGAUUUUCCCUUGGGACAAUACCUAAUCCCUACAUCUUCUAUAAAACGUCCAGUUUUUUUACUCUUAGUUUUUUUUAUUAUUCUAAACUUUAGUUUCCUGAUACAUCUGAGCAUCUAUGUGAUAUCCCAAGUGCUAAUUAAGGUAAAUGGAUGUCAGACACAGAUUUAAAAUAACGAGUGUAUGAUAGAAUUUAUGCAACAGAACAAAAUCAUUAUAAAUCCCUUACAAAUACAUAUGAGUUCUAAUACAUACAUACACUGAGGCCAAAAGUGGUUGCAAAAUAAAAAAACAAAACAUAAGGGUCAUUUUCUUCACUAUGAUAUUGGACUCAUCGGAGUGCAGGAACAGUCAUGCACUCAGACUUGUGGAUCCAUGGGAUCCUCAUAGACUUCCAAGGGUAGGUCAGCUUCCGGUUCUUCACUUUUUUUCUCAUCUAGAGGCGGGGGCAUAGAAAGAGUGAAUUUCAUAUACUCAGUAAUGAAAACAGUAUUAAAUUAAUACCGUAAGAUUUCAAGAGUUAAUUAUUUUAUCUUACCAUUUAACAUCCUUGUUUACCUAUCUCAUAUUAUGGAAAAUUAUUUAUUUGUUAAGAAAACGAUACAUUAAUACAGAAAAUCAAACAUACAUCAUGCCAGAUAAUAGAGAAAAUUAAAUAAAUCGUGAAAUGUUCAAAUUUUCAUGUCAUGCUUCGUGAAGUCAUUACAACUUCAAUCUUUGAGGGCAGAUACAGAUUUCUAACUACCCGAGUAGAAUGACCAUAUUAGAUAUAGAUACAGCAUAACAGAUAUCUACAAUCACGAUAUUACUUAGUCUUGGGUGACCCUUACAGAUAAUGCGACACCACUCUCAUCAGAGGGUAUGUCGUUAUCCACUAGGAGCGUUCCUCUUACGUCUUUUUAGACAAGAUAGGGGAGGGGGAAACAGAUACCCCUCAGAGAUAAAAAUUCUAACGAGACAAUUGGUGCAAUAUGAUGUCAAUACAAAUACACUUUGAACCAAACAAGCUUCAUUCCACUUUUCUUUUUUUUUUCUUUUGUACUUUUUACUUUUACCUAUUACAUAUUAUAUUUAUUACAUGCAAAUUCAUUAAGUGUCUGCAAUUCACAUAACAUGCUUAAAACUCAGAAAAAUUCGACUCAUUUGAACACAGAGGCAUACAAAAUAGGCAAAAUAACAAUCAUAUUAAAUUAGUUUAUCUAAAAAUAUUCCUUAAGAUGUCAAAAGAAAUACUAGAUUUCUUAUCGAAACAUUGAUGUUUUCUCCUUCACCAUUCUCCUUUCUUUCUUUUCUUCCCUCAUUAGACUACUAUCUCUCUUUCUCUAAACCUUUGAAAAAUUGAAGAAUGAAAGUGUGGAGAGGAAGAAGGGGGAGGAAUAUUUAUAGAGUUUUAGAACCGUUGGAUUCGUGCUAAGUAGCGAAAUCCAGUGAAGAGAGAGGAAAAAAAGAUGCUCGACACAAAAAAUAAAGGAGGAGGGCUCCUCCACCGUCGGUGGUGGUGCGUCGCCCAAGGCAGCAGUGGUGCACUGCUGGCUAGCCUACAGGCGCACAAAAAUCCUGUCAUGCGCAUAGGGGCUAGCCUGCGUGCGCGUAGGGCCCAAGCGCAUUGGGCACUGUGCACGCAAGCCCCAGGCGCAUAGGUCCUAUCUUUGCAGGCCUGUUAUGCGGACGGCAUGCGCACAGUGUGCGGCGCCUGUCCACGCGCGAGGUGACGCAUGGACAGCCCGCCUGCGCGCGACAGGACGCGCGCAAGUUUUGACCCCUCACCAUGUGCGCGGAGUGGACGUGUGCACUGUGCGCACGUCUUGUCUACGUGCACGCACGCACAUCUCGUGACCACUGUGCGCGCAUAUGCGCGCAAACAGUGCUCAACACUCGCACUGGUAACCAGACUCAUCGCGAGAUUUUUUCCAUGGGAUUUUCUUCCCAAUUCGUCGUUUUUUUUAAUUUUUUUCUCAAUUUUCAUAUUUAAUUUAAAUCAGUUAGAAUAAAAUUAUUUAAAAUAAAUUAAAUUAAAUUAAAUAAAUAAAAAUCAACCAAAAUUACGAAUUAUGAUAAAUAUUAAGCAAUGUAAAUUAAUUAAGUUUAACGCAGCCAAAGGCCCGAAUAAAAGGGUUUCCAAAUCAUUUUAGCACAGUGAUGGGUGGGAUAUUACAAUCUAAAUGCAUCUUAGAGUUUAGCAUAAUUGAUAACACACUACCUCUUUCUUCGUGUGUUACACUCUUACUUCUAGUAUUGGUGCGGUAUUUGUUCUAUAGGACUCCUUGCAGUAUUUUAAAAUAAUAUUUGAGAACACUUUUAUUCAAGAGAAUAUAUUUGACACUCAACUUGAGGGUGGGAGAUAAAAAGGUAAAAAGCAAUAAUGUGUGAGAAUAUCAAACGGUAAAAGCCAAGUGAGUAAAACACGAGAGACCAGUGAAGAAUCUUUAUUUGUUAUUACUAACCUCUUUUACAGGGAACUCUUUUCUAAAGAUGUAAAGCAAGCACCAAAGCCCCAUCGACAUAAUACUCUUUAUGGAGGCUAUGCAAGCAAAACUGAGACAACUCAAUAAAAAGAUGGAUAAUCUAAUUGGUGGCCAAAGUGAGGAAAGGCACGGGACUGCAAACACCAAACAGCCUAGGACUCAACACCAUGAUGAUGAGGUCGGGUCCUGUAAUGAUGAGGAGGAAGAUAGGGCGGAGAAGAGAGAAGAAAAAAGGAAUAGUAAUAUCAACUCCAUCAAGAUGAUAAUACGACCUUUCAAUGGUAGAAAUGAUGCUAAAGCAUAUUUGGAGUGGGAGAAGAAUGUAAAACUAGCCUUUGACUGCCACAACUACCACGAGGAAAAGAAGAUCAAACUAGCAGCGGUAGAGAUCACUGACUAUGCCUUAGUGUGGUGGGAUCAACUACUCCUCAUUAGACGGCAUAAUGGAGAACGACUAAUAUCCUCAUUGAGAGAGAUAAAAGCAAUCAUGUGAAAAAGUUUGUACCCACUUACUACUAAAAAGAGAUACAUCAAAAGUCACAGCGUUUAACGUAGGAGUCUAUGUCCGUUGAGGACUACCACAAGGAGAUAGAGAUGGUUAUGAUCAGGGAAAAUAAAGAAGAAGAUCCUAAAGUAACUAUGGCGAGAUUCCUCGGAGGUCUCAAUAGGGACAUUGUUAACAUGGUGGAAUUACAACACUAUGUGGAGGUGGAGGACAUGGUCCACAUGGCCAUAUAGAUUGAGAGACAACUACAGAGUAAAGGUAAGAGAAUAUUCCAUACUACUUCUACCUUUAACUCAAGAUGGCUGAAGAAUGAGGAAAAGAAGGGAGUUGAGUCAACAAUCUAUGGUUACAUGCUCCCACUUCCACUCAGGAAUUUGGAGGCCUUGUAACAAACGAUCAGCUCUCUAAUGUUUUGCCUUAGUCCUCUUGCUGGUGAGGCAUUGGGAGAUGUAGUCGACUAUGUAUUUCUUUAUUCCCGGUCACCAGUAUUAACGCAUUAAGUCUCAAUACAUCUUGAUACUCCUGGAAUGGAUGGGUAGCUUGGAAGCAUGGGUGGUCUUGAGAACAUCUGCCCUUACAACGACAGGGACCAAAUUCAGUUUCAAAAUCUAAACAAUCCAUCAUCUGAAAUUCUAAAAUUAAGAAAUUUAUUAGAGGAGAACUUACCUAAAUUCUUGGUGAGUUUUUGGUCCGUGGACUAAGCUUCCCAGAUUUUCAUAAAGAGAUCCGACAGGGCUCAGAUUUGAGCAAGAUAGGUGUCUUUGUCAUAGUAGCUAAGGCAGAGAGACUGCAUAGUAUCCAUCAAUUUCCAAGUGGAGGCCAUGGUUUGGGCCAAUACUAUAGACUUCUUUUGACUUAGCACAUCUGCAACAACAUUUCCUCUACUGGGGUGAUAGAUGAUCUUACAAUCAUAGUCCUUCAGAAGAUCCACUCAGCAUCUCUGUCUCAUAGUUAACUCCCUCUAGAGAAGAUGUACUUCAAAAUCUUAUGGUCAGUAUAAAUCUCGAAAGUUUGACCAAACAGGUAGUGACACCAUAUCUUUAGGGCAAAAAUGAUGGUCGUCAACUCUAGGUCAUGGGUAAGGUAGUUUCGCUCAUGAGGUUUCAACUGUCGGAAUCCAUAAGCAACUACUUUACCAUACUGCAUCAAGACACACUCUAAGCUAAUAUGAGAUGCGUCACAAUACACCUGAAAUCUUCUAAUAUUGUUAGGAAGGAUCAAUACAGGAGUAGAUGUGAAACGAUGCUUCAAUUCCAUGAAGCUUUCAUUGCAUUCGUAAUUCUAAACAAAUGGUACACUCUUUCAGGUGAGUCGAGUCAAUAAAGCGACAAUCUAAGCAAAUCUGUCAAUGAAUCAUGGAUAGUAACCUACCAAGCUAACGAAACUACGUACCUCAGCCACAUUAGUGGAUGGAGUCUAGUUGACCACUAUUUCAACCUUGGAUGGAUCUACAAAAACUCCUUCACUCAAAAUUACAUGACCAAGGAAGGAAACUUGAUCCAACCAGAAGGAGUAUUUGCUAAGUUUAGCAUACAAUUGGUUCCGGCGAAGGGUCUCUAACACUUCAGUCAAGUGUACUGGAUGCUCCUCCAGACUCUUAGAGUACACUAAGAUGUCAUCAAUAAAAAAGAUGACGUACUAAUCUAGUGCAUGCUAGAAAAUUAUGUUUAUGAGGUCCGAGAAGGUUGCAAAGGCAUUGGUUAACUUGAACGGCGUUACCCUGAAUUCGUACAAACUGUACCUACACUAGAAAGCAGUCUUCAGAAUAUCUUAUUCCUUGACUCUCAGCUGGUAAUAUCUCAUUCUGAGGUCAAUCUUAAAGAAGACUGUAGCUCCUUACAAUUGAUCAAAGAGGUGGUCGAUCCAAGGUAAGGAGCACUUACUUUUAACUGUCACUAGGUUGAGUUCCUGGUAGUCCACACAAAGUCUGAGGAAACCAUCUUUCUUUUUCACGAACAAUAUGGGAGCGCCCCAAGGAGAAUGACUAGGGCGGAUAAACAUCCAGGUAAUUAGUUCAGAAAGCUGAUUUUCUAACUCCGUAAGUUCAGCUUGAUUCAUACGAUAUGCGGGCUUCGAGAUUGGUUGGGUUCUGGGCAGCAGUUCAAUUAGGAACUCUACUUCUCGUGGGGGAGGCAAACUAAGAAGUUCAAUGAGAACGACAUCUGAAAAAUUGCAAACAAUCGGUAUAGAACACACAGCAGGAUCAACACCCAUAUUCUUAUUUAUUCAAUUGUUAGGAAAAAUAAUAACAAUAGAUUUUAUUCCUUUUUCACGGACCGCAAAGUUAUAAUUUUACUUUCACAAUCGCUUAUUGCUUUAUACUUUUCUAACCAGUCCAUUCUUAAUAUCACAUCAAAUCCUGAAAAAUUUAACAAUAUUAUAUUCACAAAUACUUCUAUCUCUGAAACUUUUAUCUUAUAAUCUUUAUAUACACAGUGAGCUGCUAAUAGUCCCCUAGAGGAAGUUUCUACUAUUAAUAUUUUUGCUAAAGGUUCUGGCCUAAAAUCAAGAUUACAAGUAAAUGCACAGGAAAUAAAAGAGUGAGUAGCACUUAUAUUGAUCAAAGUCUUGGCAGAAGUAUCAUGAAUAGAAAGCAUACCCUGAAUAAGAACAGGAGUGGGGAGAGCAGCAGGUUCAUCUAGGUGGUACACACAAGCUUGUGCUACAAGCUUGGUUAUGUCCUUCGGUCGUUGGGGGUAAUCUUUUAUAAGAUGUUGGGUGCUUCAGCACCAAUAAUAGGCGUGAUUGAUAUGUCGACAUGGCAAGUCACCAUGCGAGUGACCACAAUGCUGACAGGGUUGGUUAGGUCAGGCAAGCUGAGCUACAGGUGAAGUCAAGGUAGGGGAAAUGGCAACUCUAAUUCGUUUAUUGAGGUGGCUACUUACUGGAUCUGGCAAUCUCCUUCUAGGCCGUUAGGGUUGUUGUUCUUGGGCAUGUGAAAUGAGGUCUUCAGCCAAUUAGGCAUGUUCUAGCACCUUCGCAUAUGAGCUGGGUCUCAGCAUUGCAACCCAACCAUUGAUAUCAGCACGAAGGCCCUUUAGAAACUUCCUAGCUUUUUUACUUUCAGGGGGUGACCAUUAAAGAGGUGAAUCUAGAUAGUUGGACAAAACGGGCUGCAUACUAGGCAAUCGUUAGGUUUUUUUGGCGAAGAUUCUAAAAUUUCUACUCCUUUUUUUCCCAAACAUAGGCAGGAAAGAAAUUAUCACAGAAUGCACCCAUCAAAACUUCUAAGGUGGUAGGGGUAGGAAGUAUUUCCUUGUUAAGUCGUCACUAGUGUUCUGCUUCACUGUUUAGCAUAAAGGCUGCUAGGAAAACUUUAUGUUCCUCAGUUAGGUCUAAGAGAGAGAAAAGUUUUUCUAUCUAUAGGAUCUAGACUUCGGCUACUAAGGGAUCAGGGCCACCUUCGAAAUGAGGCGGGUUAAGCUUCCUAAACUCCACUAUGUUGUGGGAAAUGGACCUUUCAGUCAUUUGGUAUUCUGGGGCAGGAGGUGGAUAAGGGUUGGCUUGAUUUUUUCCUACGGUUGCAAUCAAUUUCUGGACGGUUAUGAAAAGUUCGGCAAAUUCAGCCUUGGUCGAGUGAUCUAGGGUUUCAGAUCGCUCAGUACGCUCUACGAAUGGUCUUCCUUGCGUCAUUCCUAUAAAAGAAAAGAAGAUACGAGUUAGUGGUCUGAUUUUUACAAAUAGGACUUAUUCUUCCUAGGUACUCUAAGGGUCUUUCGACCUAAGGCCUCAGUGUAAGGGAUUUGAUCCAUGUAAUUCUGCUCUAAUACCAUCUGUGACAUUCCAAAUGCUAAUUAAGGCAUGUGGGUAUCAAAUACAGAAAUAGAAUUAUGAGUGCAUGAUAAAAUUUUAUAUAGCGGAAUAAAUUAAUACAUAUCCUUUACAAAUAUAUAUGAGUUCCAAUUACAUAUAUAUAAUUGAGGCUAAAAGUGGCUACAAAAUACAAAAUCAAAAUAUAAAAGAGGGUAACUUCUUUCAUUACACUAUUGGACUCAUCAGAGUGCGGGAACAAUCAUACACUCAAGUUUUGUGGAUCCACGGGAUCCUCAUAAACUUCAAUAGGUAAGUCAGCUGGCAGUUCCUCAUUUUAUUCCUCGUCGGGGGNNNNNNNNNNNNNNNNNNNNNNNNNNNNNNNNNNNNNNNNNNNNNNNNNNNNNNNNNNNNNNNNNUCGGGGGGGGGGGAGGGGGAGGGCAUGAGAAGAGUGAGUUCUAUAAAGCUCAGUAAAAAAAAUAAUAUUUAAAUAAUAUCGUAAGGUUUUAAAGGUGAAUUAUUCUAACAUAAAUACUUAUCAUUUGGUUAUUUCGAAGACCUAUCUUAUAUUAUGAAAAUAAUUUAUUAAUUAGAGAAAAUAAUAUGUUAAUAUAAACUAACACACAUCAUACCAGAUAAUAGAGAAAAUCAAAUAAAUUAUGAAAUGCUCAGAUUUUUGUGUCAUGCUUCACAAAGUUAUUAUAACUUCCAUCUCUGAAGGCAGAUAUAGAUUUCUGACUACCCAUAUAGAAUGACCAGAUUAGAUACGGAUAACGAUAAUUUACUCAGGCACAUUUCCACUUAGCCAAACCAUGGUACGAUCUAUGAUCUACGACCACGACCGUACAAACUAUAGUGGCCCUAUCAGAUUUCUAUAAUCACGAUAGUACAUUUCCACUUAAUAAUUUUUGUUGUGUGCUCGUUCCGAGCCUGUUGUGCACCCAUGCGCGCGCACAAUUCACAAGUGCCCACACGGAGAGCACCCCUUUCUCGCUGGAUUUUCCCACGAGAUUUCUUCCACUUUGCCGUUUUUUUCUAAAUUCAUUUUUAAUCGUACUAAAAUAAAGUAAAAAUAAAAUUAAUGUAAUUAAAAUAAAAUUAAAUAGAAUUAAUUAAAAAUAAAAAUUUAAAUAAUAUAAAAAUAAUUAAAAUCGGUAUAAUUCACAAAUUACAAUAAUAACUUGUGGAAUAAAUUAAAUGAGUUUAAUGCGGCCUAAAGGCCUAAAAAAAUAGGAUUUCUUUGAAAUCAAUUAAGUACAGUGAUGGGUGGGGUGUUACAGUAGGACUCUACUUCUUUUGUUUUUUCUUUUCUCCCUUUAUCCACAUACUUUUUAUUCCAAUGAGGAUUCUUCUUGAUGAUCGCCUAGAAAAAAGAAGUACAGCUUGAGAAUAACUCUUUCUGUUGUAAAAACAACCUCUCUCACGUGUGAGGGAACCUUGCGGGUGGGGUUGCCCCUCCUACACAUGUGUUUGCCCACACAUGUGAACAAGGACAUUUACAUGAGUGGCAUGUGAGAUCUGUGACUUUCCUUGGCUGGUCUACCUUUAUUUGACCUUCUCUUAGGCCUCCCAAGUGAGCUCAUCAGUUACCCAUUAUUGGACCAAUAAGUUGAAAAAUAGUUAAAACUUCACCCAACUCCUCAAGAUUGGGCUUAGGGGCAUUUAGAUCCUGCUUCCUAACUCUCAAAGAUCAUCUUGAUUAUUUUUGGGCUGCCUUUGGACUUGAGAUGGAUUAGAAAAUAAUAAUGAAUUAGGAAAUGAGUUAGGCUCCAAGUAGGUUUUCACUCUAGUGCUUGGGCCAGGAGUCUCUAAAGAAGGAAAGAAAUCCUUGUGGGAUUGGGAUUCUUCACGAAAAUUCUUCUCGAUACUGUCUGCGGGUACGCGAGGGUUUUCAAUUCUACGAGGUAACUCCUUUUUCAUGUUCAAAUUCAAAUAAUUCCCCCUUCUUUGAAAAAAAUUCAUCCUUGAAUCUUCACCUAUAUCAAAAAAAGAUAGAUUUGAAACAUUAAAAGUAGUAAACACUCAAUCCUCACCUGGUAGGUCAAUCUUGUAAGCAUUGUUGUUGAGUCAUUCCAAGACUUGAAAUGGCCCAUCACCCUUAGGAUCUAAUUUAGAUUUUCGUUAUUUAGGAAAUCUUUUCUUCUGCAUAUAAAUCGAAACCUAGUUCUUGGUUGGAAGACAACCCAUUUUCUCCCCUUGUUAGCAUUAUGGGUAUAAGAUUCAUUUCGCUUCUGGAUGUGUUGUCGUACCUUCUCAUGUAUAGUUUUAAUAAGGUUGGCUCUUUGCUGGCCAUCUGUAUUCUUAAUUCCAACAAAGGUAUAGGCAUUAGAUCAAGCAAAGUUAAUGGAUUACAACCAUAGACAAUUUCAAAAUGUUAAAAUCUUGCAGAGGUAUGAAUGCUACAGUUAUAUACAAACUCAACUGUAGGUAAACAAUCUUCCUAAAUUCUCAUAUUUUGACCAACUACAACCCUUAUAGAGAAUCUAAGGUUCUAUCGACCACCUUAGUUUGGUAAUCUACUUGGGGGUGACAUGUAGUGGAAAAUAGUAUUUCAGUCCCUAGUUUACCUUAUAACACUCGCCAAAAGUGGAUAAGGAACUUGGCAUCCCUAUCACUUAUGAUAGUCUUGGGAAUGUCGUAUAGCCUCACAACAUCCCUAAAGAACAAAUUAGUAAUAUUUGUCGCAUCAUGAGUCUUAUGGCAAGCAAUGAAGUAUGUCAUUACUAAAUCUGUCCAUUACGAGAAAUAUAUUCUCACUACCUCUCCUCAUUCUAGGUAGACCCAAAGCAAACUAUAUGAAAAUAUAUAUUCAAGGUGUUAUAGGUCAAACCUAGAUUUAGUUUUCCUACAUGCAAUACAUUAGCUACAUAUGCACUAACAUCAUUUUCAUGUUAUGCCAAAUAAAAAUACUCGUGUAGAAUAUUAAAGUCUUGUACCCAAAAUAACUCGUGCGUCGCCUAAUAUGUGUUUCACGAACUAGCAAUUCUCUAAGUAAACAAAUAGGCACAACAUAGCUUACUUUCCUUAAGAAGGAAACCAUCAUAUUUAUAAAACUUUUGGAAUGCAUAAUGCUCACAUACAUGAUAAACAAGGAAAAAAUCUUUAUCAUUCACAUAUAUAACUUUGAUAUGUUCAAAUCCUAAGAAUUUAAAACUUAAUGUAGCAAUUAAAGCAUACAUUCGAGACAAUGCAUCAACAACAAUAUUAUCUUUACCAUGUUUAUACUUGAGGACAGAAGAGAAUGACUUGAUGAACUUUACUCACUUACCAUGUCAACGGUUGAGUUUACCUUGGUCCUUUAGAUGCUUUAAGGACUCAUGAUUAAUGUGAAUCACAAAUUUCUUCGAUAGUAGGUAAUAUUGCCAUACCUCUAAUGAUCUUACCAAGGCAUACAACUCCUUAUCAUAGGUUGAGUAAUUUAGUAGCGCACCACUAAGUUUUUGCUAAAAUAGGAUACCGAACGCCCUUCUUACAUUAGAACUGCUCUACUACCCACACCUAAAGCGUAACAUUCAAGCUCAAAAGUUUUAUUAAAUUUAGGUAAAGAAAGAAUAAGUGCAUAAAAUAGUUAUUCUCUUAAUAAAGUAAAAAUAGAUUCCUGUUUUUAGUCCAUACAAACUUUACAUCUUUCUUAAAAAAUUCAUUUAAUGGGGUUGCAAUGGAACUAAAAUCUUUAACAAACCUGCAAUAAAAGCUUGUCAACCAAUGGAAUCUUUUUACCCCAUUGGUUGUUGUUGGAGUAGGUCUGCUUUCACUUUAUCCUCAUCCACCUCAAUGUUUGUGCACUUACCACAAACCCUAAAAAUAUUAAUUUAUCACUGCAAAAAGUCCAUUUCUUAUCAUUAAAAUAUAACUGCUCAUUCCUAAGAACCUUAAGGACAGACUGGAUAAUAUUGGAGGUACUCCUUUAAGGACUUACAAUAUAUUAGGAUAUCAUCAAAGUAAACUACAAUAAAUUUACCAAUGAACGGUUGUAGGACAUAGUUCAUAAGUUUCAUAAAGGUACUAAGGGCAUUUGACAUACCAAAGGGCAUUAUUAAUCAUUCAUAUAGAUCAUACUUCAUCUUAAAUGUGGUCUUCCAUUUGUCCCCCAGUUUCAUCCUAAUUUGACAAUAACUAUCUCUUAAUAUCUAUUUUAGUAAAAAUAAAAGAAACACUAAGUUCAUCCAACAUAUCAUCCAGCCUAGGGAUGGGGUAUCUAUACUUUACUAUUAUUUUAUUGAUGACUCUGCAACCAACACAUAUCCUUCAAGAACCAUCCUUAUUAGGUGUUAGUAGCAUAGGAACAACACAAGGGCUCUAGUUUUCUCUAACAUGUCCCCUUCUUAACAACUUCUUUACUUAUCAUUGAAUUUCCUUCAUUUCCUCAAGGUUACUUCGAUAGACAGAACGAUUUAAAAUUGAUGCUCCAGGGACAAAAGUCAAGCUAGUGCUCUAUCCUUCAGAGUGGUAGAAGAUCAUCUAGGAUUUUCUCUAAAAAGACAUCCUCGAACUCCUAUAAAAAAAAGGAAACAAGACUAGACAAUGAAGAGGUUAAGGUCAGAUAAGUUUAAAUAAGCCUCUUUAUACUGAAGCACAAUUAGACUCUUUUUCUCAUAAAUUACUCGCCUCACCUCUCAUGCAGUCAUAAAAAGACUUUUUUUUCUUUUCUUUCUCUCACUUUCUCUCAUGGGCCUUUAUUCUUUUUUCUUUUAGGUCUCUUUUUCACUCAGUGGGUCAUUCUUUUUUCUUUCAAUCUCUUUCUCUCUCAAUGGGUUAUUCUCAAUUUUUUUCAGCUUCUUUUUCUCUUAAUGGGUCAUUUCUUUUCUUUUCAGCCUCUUUUUUUCUCAGUGAGCCAUUUUUUUUCUUUUCAACCUCUUUUCUUUCUUUUUCUAUUUUUUGUUCUAAAUGUACAUUAAUAGCUCUCUUGACCUUGAUUUGAUCCUUAUGUACCCCUUUUAGUGAUAGAGGUGUAAAAAUAUGAUUUAGACUUUUUUACGUAACGAGUAACAGUUGGUGAAACCGUUAUGUUGUACUUGUCUAUCAAACUACUAAGAUCUCCUAACUAUCAAAUGACUGGCAUACAUAGGUACAACAUCACAACAUACCUCAUUCUUAUAUUUGUUGAUGGAGAAAGAUACCAUGACUUACUUCGUGACUUUGACUUCACCACACUCAUGUCACCAGUGUAAUCAGUAAGGACUAUGGUGCUUAGUGCAUGUUAACUCCAANNNNNNNNNNNNNNNNNNNNNNNNNNNNNNNNNNNNNNNNNNNNNNNNNNNNNNNNNNNNNNNNNNNNNNNNNNNNNNNNNNNNNNNNNNNNNNNUAAAGCAACAUGUAUGGAAUAUGUUCUUCUGUUGUUUAUUGUUUGUGCUCGUAAGUUAUAAAUUUAGAGCUCUUUGAACUACAAGGACAUUAUCCCAUAUUAGAGUUUCUUUAAUUGUUUGAGAUAUAGUAAAGCACCUGCAAAAAAAAGGCUAGUAAAAAAAAAUUCCUCCUUCUUACCUUCACUUGUGUUUACUUCAUAAUCUCUUACACUCAACUUCUUCCCUCAAGUUGAGCGUUUGAAAUCUAAUUCUCUUAAAUCAAGAUCUGCACGUUAGUCUUAAAGACACAACAAUAAGUCUUAAGGGGAUCUUGUUUUUAGAAGCUUAAAAUUAAGCACACAAAUGAAGAAGUUGUGAUGCUUUUAUUAAUAAUAUGUUAAGUAACUUGAAUGCAAUAAGCUACUUAGAUGUGUCUUGGAAUAAAAAUAUAAUUAGAAAAAAUAAACUUAGAACACAAAGAAACAAAUAUGGAUUUAAAGUGUAAGGGAUUUGAUCAAUCUUGAUGGAUAUAACAAGUAUCUUAUUCCUAAUUAUUCCACCCCAAUGAUAACUACGCUCUACGAUUGAUUAAAUUUCUUUAUUUAAAUGUAAAUCCAGACUCAAUGAUGUUGUGCUUGAAAUUAAAAUAUGAAGCAAAUGGUUUUCGCACACUUUUUGGUGAGGUAAUCUUCCUUUGAAAAAUAAAGGUUUUCAUCACACUGAUAGGCAAUUAAUCUCCCUUAGCUUGUAAAUGCAAACAUAAUGAAUGUUGAAUUGUCUUAUGAUGUGCAAUCACUUUUCUUUGAUUUUUUUGGAUUUUUUUAACUAAUUAAACAAAUGAACUUCUAUUUAAAAGAAUAAUUAGAUAAUAUCAAAUGGGAUGCAAUAAAAUGGAUUCAAAAUUAGGUGUUUGAUUGCUAAUUAUGCAACAAUAAUAUGCAAAAAAAUUUAAGAUAGUAGAUUCAAUGGUGCCUAAGCUCUGAUACUAAAUGAUGUGGGACCUCCAGGAUCAAAACACCUUGAUCAUGAACCCACAUCAACAGUAGCAAGCUGAAACUUAAUUUCCUAAUUAAAUCCUCCCUACUUGAACUAUAUUCAACAAUUUGAAUGCAAACCAAGUUGAUUGGGAAUUAAAAUAAGGAACAAAAAAGCCAUUACGACUUACCCGAUAAGUUGAUUCAGAUUUUUUGACUCAACAAGAUGGUUGAAGCAACCUCCCUUGAAGAACACUCACUCUCACACAUUAGUAAAACUUCUUAUAAAGAAUAAAACUUAAAGCCUUAAUUGAAUAAUCUGAAUUGUUGUGAUUAUAGCCUAAGGUCAGGCCUUUAUAUAAGCAUUCACCAGAAAAAUUCUAUAAAAACUCAAAUACUUGACUUUUAUUCAAACUCUAUCUAUAUUCUAAGUUUAUCUAAAUCUUAAGAUUAAAAUAAUAAUUAAAUACAUUAAAAUAAUCAUUUAAAUAAUAAAAUAAUACUUAAAAUAUCUAGAUAGAUAAUCCUCCUCUCUUUGGUCGGUCCUUGUGAAUUAUUCUGUGUGCGUUUUUGCUUCAUUUAGUUGUAAAGUCAUAAGAAACAUGUGAUUAAAAUAAAGAAAAAGCUUUCUCCUUCAACUCGCAUGAGUAAGGCCAUUGGGAUUGCCUUACCGCAGGUUUACAUCCAUUUGGUUUUAUCUUUUCUCCCUUUAUUUGCAUUCUUUUCAAUCUUAUAAGGAUUCUUCCCAUUGAUCGCUUAAAAAGAAGAAGUGCAACUUACGAAAGACUCUUAUUGCCAUAAAAACGACCUCCCUCACGUGAGAGGGAACCCCACGAGUGAAAGUUAUCUCUCCUGCACAUGUGUUUGCCUGCACAUGUGAACAAGAACAUUCACAUGUGUGCCAUGUGACAUCCGCGACUUUUCAUGUUCGGUCGACCUUGAUCUCGCUUUCUAUUGGGCCUCCUAACUGAGCUCUUCACUUACCCAUUCUUGGACCAAUAUGUUGAAAGCUAGUUGAAACUUAUUCUAACUUUUAACUUAUUAGCUUGACUCCUCGUGAUUGGGCCUAAGGGCAUUUAGAUCCUAUUUCUAACUCUUAAAUAUCAUCUUGAUUAUUUUUAGGCAGUCUUUAGGCUUGAGAAGGAUUAGGAAACAAGGAGGAAUUAGGAAAUGAGCUAGGCUUCAAGUUGGUUUCCUCUUUGGUGCUUGGGCUGUGGGUUUCUAAAUAAAAAAAUAAAUCCUUGCGGUAUUGGGAUUCUCCACAAGUAUUCUCCCAAGUACUGUCCGCAAGCACGCGAGGGUCUUCGAUUCCGCAAGCUAACUCCUUUGUCAUGUCUAGAUUCAUAUUAGUCUUUUGUCCUGAUAAUUAGGGACUAGCAAUGGCCUUUUAUUAUUUUAAAAUAUCUAGGAGCUCUCUCCUUAUUCUUUAUUUAGUUAUUCGACCACUUGAACCUUUUCUAAGACUCCUCGAUAUGUCACUAGAACGAACACAAUUACCUAACGAUAAAGGUCAGGCCUCAGUCCUCUCUCAAACCUUCGGGCCUUCUUAGCUCAUUCAUCAUCAUGUCCAGGGAAAACCACCUCAACUUAAUGAAUUUUUCUAAUUACUCUGCCACUGUGAACUUUGCUUGGUGCAACUCUAAGAACUCAUUUCUUUUUCUACUGUCUAAUGAAAUUAGGAAAAUACUCGGCGUUGAAUGCCUCUAAGAAAAUUUCCCAGGUAAUGGGAGGAAUCAUAGCUCUUUUCUUCAAGUUCCACCAAUGUUCUACUGCUCCUUUUAACAUGAAAAUAACUAAUUGAACCUUCUAUUUGGUAGUGACUUCUAUUACUUCUUUUUAAAAUAGUUUUUCUAUCUCUUUAAUCCACACCUCUACUAUAAGUAGAUCAAAAUGGCUUGUAAACACUGGGGGACCCAACUGUUUAAACCUCUCAUUGUUGCUGGAGUCAACACCUGCAUGAACCAUAUUUUGAUGUUGAUAGUAGGGUGGUUCCGGGCAUAAUUCUCACUCUUGAACAAUUGUCACUAGGCUCUCCACGACUUGGCACAGCUUGUUAAAAUAUUCCUAAUUGAGACCUUUUUGGGUUGGUUUAACCUUGUGGAGCAGGGGGGUGACCCUUAAUGAGUUAGAAGUGGUGUUUAUUGAACUGGGGGCCAGUCUUGAGGAGCUAGGGUUGGCCCUCUCUAAGGUCGACCUCUGCCUCGUUCACAUUUCUAUUAUUCUUGCAAUUCAAAGGUAUUUUCACCUAAGAUCAUAAGAGAAAUUCAAUUUCCUUCUAAUCUAUAUAAAUUCUCAAGUCUAUUGUACAAAUGAUGGUCCUAGGAAAGUUGUUGUGAUACCCACUAUAACAACCUGUGAUUUUGAUGAAAUCACAAGUAUCUAAACAUCUUGAACAUUUAAAAUGCAAUGUCAAAUUUGUAUGAAAAUGCAAAAUACAAAUUUAUCCAAACUCUCAUCUUUCUAAUUUUAGUUAGAUCUAAAUAAUUAAAAUAGUCACGUAACAUAUCUCUAAUCUCAAAAAACUAAGUAAUACUUCAGAGUCUGAAAACUUAUAUAUCAAUACUAAUCAAAGAUAACAUAAAUCUCAUAUACUUAGAGGGUCUAGUCACUAUCGUAACUAGUCUUGUAUUUGCUCUUAGGUUUCAUGUUCUUAAAAAGAAUGAAAAAGAUUGAGCUGCACAUGCUUAGUACGAACCAUUUAGUACCCUAACCUGCAUAAAUGUAAAUAGUACAAGUGAACCCUCAGUAUACUGUAUCUAAGUGAGACCGGAUUCAUUUCUAAAUGAGUGUUACUAAUCUCGAAUAUCUUAUUUAUUCGAAUUAUUCAUCACUUUAAAACAUUUUUCUAGACAUUGUUAAGUAUUUUACUUUUCUAUUUCCCUGUUAAUAGUAAAAUCAAGUAAUCACUCAACAUUUUACCCAUAAUGCAAUAUAAUUCACUUUUUCUUUUACUUUAAUAUCACUUAUCAACUAUAUAAUGACAAUUUAUAACUAUAACCGAUAGUGCGUCAAAACAUCUUCAUUGUCCAUUUUUUAGUACUAAAUUGAAUUUUUUUAUAUUUGAUUUAAGCUAUUUUAUUCAUUUUGAUACAGGAUAGAAGAUGGAGCCCUACGUCAGGAAAACAACAUAAACAGAGCAGAUUUUGUGAAGUAGUUGUCAAUCAUUGUAUAAGUUUUCGUCAAGGCUUAAACCCUGCAGCAAAGGCAGAUUUUGGCUCACACACAAUCAAGCCUCGGGCAAGGUUAAUGUAUCAGAAAGGGCUAUAAGUCUCAGUACACCAGAUUAAGCCUCGACCAAGCCUUAAACAUGUGCAGCAACAUAUUUGACAAAAAAAAGAUGCACUGUCGAAUUAAAAGAAGAAAUUUAGUUGCGCCCGAAAAAGGAAANNNNNNNNNNNNNNNNNNNNNNNNNNNNNNNNNNNNNNNNNNNNNNNNNNNNNNNNNNNNNNNNNNNNNNNNNNNNNNNNNNNNNNNNUACUAAGCCCACCAUGAGUGGCUGAUAACAUUCGUUGCUAGUUACAGAUUUAUUGAAAAUUCCAAUUUGAAUUAUGAGAUCUAAUUGCUUUAUUUAUGAUUUCAUUAAAGCUUCAGUAUUUGCUUAUUUCUAUGUGUGUAUUAUUAUUGUUGCUUGUUAACUGUUUGACUAUGGCUGGUUAGAUGCGUGACAAGGCAAUAUACUACCAUUUGAAAAUCCUGAAUCCGUAAUUAUUUGGGUUAUUUCGAUACUCAAUAGUAAAUUAGUCUUUAAGCUAAGGGAAUAGGUGAUCUGAUUGAACAGGUCACGUGGUUGAAUCUGACAACUAGAUACAGGUUCUUUUAGUUCUCAAGGCUGUUGAUAGAUUAAAUUCUAUAAACAUUUCCAAGACUAUUUAUCAAUAAAAAUAAACUAACAAAUAUUUUUUGGUUAAUUAAGGAUUAAGGAAGAAUCGGUUGUCGGAACAUUUUCGAUAACCAAAACUAGUUUGUAGAGCUUUAGUAAGACCGAUCAUUAUAUCGAUGGUCAAUUUCACUAUUGGAAUCUAGCUACUUCUUUAACUGGGAUUAUUCUUAUAUCUGUUAUUUCUUUGAUUGUCUUCUGUUCCAUUGUGUAAAUUUUAGCUUAGUAGUUUGUUUUUUUUCAUCGUUUAAACUUGAAGAAAAACCCCCUGCUCUUGUUUUCGUUGGUCAAAGAAGAAUACAAUAUCCGAAUUUGUUUUCAACAGAUAUUGCAAUGCCACAAGAGUAUGAAAAUAUAAUGACCUUAGUCUCUAAUAAAUAAGAGCAGAACUUUUUCAAGACAAACGCAACAGCAAGUAGUUAUUUUUCAGUGGUCGAGUAGUUGACUUGAACACUAUCUAGAUAUAAUACCCUGAAACCUCUAUAUUCGGAUAUUGUAUUUUUAAAUUUUAUAUUUUUGUGAAGAGGAAGGAGGGGAAGGUGCUUUAAAUAGCCUUCCCAAAUGAAUGUGAUCUGUUGGAUCACAUGUAAUUAAUGGUAGCCAUUGAUCGGCCAACUGGCUAAGUGGCCACCCCCACAUGGCGUGCAUGUGUGCCAUGUCGUAACCAUGCAUGCCCAAUAGUGGGCUAACAAGACAACCCAUCCGUCGAGGGUCACGCAAAGUGACCUUGCAAGUGGUUGCACACUUCAGGCGGACAACGCGUGCACCCAAGCUGACGCGACAGUCCCUGCAAACGUACAGGCAUGCGCGAACAAUCACAUGCGACGUCCCUGCGUGCGCAGCAAACACGUGGGCAUAGUCACAGCCUUUCACGCAGGUUCACAGGUCCUUUCCCUCCAUUUUUCUGUUUUUGUUUUAUCUUUUAUUCUUUUUAAAAAAUUUUAAAUUCUUUUUAGCUAAAACAAAAAUUAAAAAUUAAAAAUAAAUUCAUGCACAAUAUAAUUUAAAUGCAUAUUAAAAUUAAAACACUAUAAUUUAUUAAAAUAUAAAAUUUAAAAAUACAAUAUCCGAAUAUAGAAGUUUCGGGGUAUUAUAUCUAGAUAGUGUUCAAGUCAACUACUCGACCACUAAAAAAUAACUACUUGCUGUUGCGUUUAUCUUGAAAAAGUUCUGCUCUUAUUUAUUAGAGACUAAGGUCAUUAUAUUUUCAUAUUCCUGUGGCAUUGCAAUAUCUGUUGAAAAAGAAAAAAGCCAAAUCAAGACUAAUUCGAUGGAUACUCUAACUGCAGGAAUUCGAUUUAGAAAUAAGAGACAAAAGGGGUAUGGAGAAUUUUAUUGCUGAUCACCUUAGUCAUCUGCUGUUAAAGGAAGAGCUUAUGCCAUUGAAAGAUGAAUUUCCAAAUGAACACCUUUUCUGGGUAACGCUGUGGACACUCUGGUACGCUGACAUAGUCAAUUAUUUGGUCACCAACACAUUGCCAGCUAAAUUGUCCAGAGCACAAAAAGAUAGAAUCAAGAAGAAUAAUAGUAAUAUGUGUGAGAUGACCGUGCAAAUCAGAUCAUUCGCUGAUGCAUCCCUAAAGUAGAAGUUCCUUCCAUCCUGAACUUUUGUCAUUCUCAUGCUUGCGGGGACACUUCAGUCCUAAGCGCAUGGUGCGCAAAGUGCUGGAAUGCUGGUUAUUUUGGCCUUCCCUGUUCCGUGACGCAUAUAUCUAUAGUAAAAUAUGUGAAAUUGCCAACAUACAUGAAAUUAGGCCGCAAGGAUUAGAUGUCAUUAACACCCAUCCUAGUCUACGACAUCUUUGAUGUGUGGGGGAUAGAUUUUAUGGGACCCUUUCCAUCCUCCUUCGAAAACUCAUAUAUUUUACUUGCAGUGGAUUAUGUCUCCAAGUGGGUGAAAGUUAAGGCCACCAGAACCGACGACGCCCAAAACUGUUGUCAACUUCAUCAAAACCCAUAUCUUUGUUAGGUUUGGAGUGCCUCAUGCGAUGAUAAGUGAUAGGGGAAUACAUUUUUGUAAUCGAAUUGUGGCUUUAAGAAGUACCAUGUCAGACACCGUACCUCCACCACUUACCAUCCGCAGAUCAGUGACCAAGCAGAAGUUUCAAACAAGGAGGUGAAGUCCAUACUAGAGAAAAAAUUCAACCCCAACAAAAAAAGACUGGAGCUUAUGGCUAGAGGAUGCUCUAUGGGCCUACAUUACAGCCUACAAAACUCCUAUCGAAAUGUUAUCCUACUGCCUGGUUUUCGGUAAGGCCUACCACCUUCCUGUGGAGCUAGAACACAGGGACUAUUAGGCAAAUAAGAGUUACAACAUGAAGAUAGAAGAGGCCAAGCAACAUAAGAAGCUGCAACUACAGGAAUUGGAAAAGAUAAGAAAUGAAGCUUACGAAAAUUCACGAAUAAAUAAAAAGAAGAUAAAGUCCCUCCAUGAUCGAAUAGUCACCAAAAAGUAGUUUUUUUGUAGGACAGGAGGUCCUACUUUAUGAUUCCCAUCUGAAGUUGUUUCCCAGAAAAUUACGUUCUAAGUGGUUAGCCCCUUUAUUGUCACAAAAAAUUCCACGCCGGAGCAGUUGAGAUCAAGAGUCUAGACACGGAUAAAACAUUCAAAGUAAAUGGACACCGACUCAAGCCAUCUAUGAAAGAUUUGUAGGACAACAAGUUGAAGAGCUCAUCCUAGAAACCCCUACAGAUAACAACCGAUAGCGCAGAGGCAAUCUCUAGCCUAGGACAGUACACAAGGGUGUUUAACAAGAGGCAACCCAUUUUUUCUCGUUUUUUUUCUAUUUUCCUUAAAACUAUUUUGAUGUUUUUAAAAUAUAUGUGUUAUUAAGGUUUUAACCUCAAUCACUCUAACUGGAAUUUUCUUCUUUAUUUACAGGCUGUUGAAGAAACAAUGCAAGACCACUGGGUCACCAGGCUGUAAAGACUGCAUUACCCUUGCCUAAGGCUAAGAGCGAUAACCCAAGCCUUGCCCAAGACGAAGAGUGAUAACCCAAGCUUUGCCCAAGGCCUAGAGCGACAAGUUAAGCCUUGCCAAAGGGUUAGCGCGUGCCUUGUCUAAGGGUUAAUAACUUCACAAGCCUUUUCAUGGAUCGGAUGCAAGCCACAAGGCUUAAACCAUGGUAACAUAAGAAGUCUAGUUUAGAAAUAUUUAGAUAAUUCAUGCCCAAGGGUUACGUUGUAGAUGUGAUUGAAGUUUUAUACUGUGUAACCUUUGCCCAAGGCUAAAGUGAAAAAAAGAAAAAAAAAAUUCCCCUUGUGAACUAUCCACUAAGCCUUUGUCUAGGCUCAUGACACCUGACGUCCAUUUUAAAUUUAAAAUCCCUACCCUAAAACACCACUCCCCACUUUCACAAUCAAACUCUCACUCUUUUCCCUAAUCACAACCUCUCACCUCAAACCACAAGCUCCACCUAAGGAACACGCUUCACUGCAUGAUGCAAGCAACCCCUCGACCCCAUAGCAGAUGAACCUCUAGUGUCUCCCACCCCCUAGCCAACAAUACUAGGGGAUUAUUCUAUCCUUUCUUUUUCUCUUAUUCUGUUUUUUUUUUCAUUUCUUAUUUUCUGGUUUUCAUGCUACCUUGCUUGUGUCAAAUUGGGGACAAUGUGCCUUUUAAGGGUCGAAGAGGCACAUGCUGCACUUUUACGUUUCCAUUUUGGUCACAUUUUUUCUUUUAAGUACAUGCUGAUAUGCAUUCGUAGCCCUACCCAAGUCACACAUAACUACAUUUUCAACUAUUUUUAACCCCAUCUUUUCACUACUGCCUUGGUAUUUCCAAAAUAAUUUAACUGGUGUUUCAAGAACUAAAUUACAUUUUCAGUAACCUUCUAAGAUUUCUGACUUAUUUUUCAUCUUUUCACACCAUGAAGAACUAUUUCUAUUAAUAUGUCUUAACAUAACUUGUUUAGGAAUUGCAUUCAAUUGAUUUUCUCUUGUCCUGAGGUGAACACUAGUGCCUAGGGAACUUACACAACUAUCUGUCUGAAUUUGCAUGUUCAAAUUCACCAAAAAAAAGGAGAGAAAGAGCAUGAACCAUAAACUACUCGUCUAGUUGAAUGAAUUUAUAACCAAUUGUGUAACCCGGUGCAUUCAUCAUAAAUGUUUGUCAUCACGUCAAAAGGUUGGUAACAUUUAAGAUAGCCAUAAAAGUGUUAGUCAAUCGAUUAUGAAUAGUACUAGUAGCCUCUGAAAAUUGUGACCAGCUGAGUAACCGGGUGCAUUCAUCAUAAAUCUUUGCCCUCACAUAAAAAAGUUAAUGAAAUUUUAAGUCAACAAAAGAGUGCUCAAGAAGUAAUUAUUUUAAUUAUUUGUUCUCACAAUAACCCAUUUGCAUUAAGACUUUAUGUUUAGACAAGUUUAGUGUGGAUUUUACCCUAGUUAUUGGCUAUUCUUUUCAAGAUAAAAAUGUGUUCAAAAACCUACAAAACCUUUCCAUUUUAUGCUUGGAUAUUAUUCAAAGUAGUUAUUCUUUGGUGUGAUUCCAAGAAACUCAAGCCUAAAACUGCUAGUAAGGACUGUUUUUGCAAAUUUAAGAUUGAAAUAUAACAUGCAAGUUGUGGAAAAAUUAUUAAGGGCAGUAGGGUUGAGGGUGCAAGGUUGAGACUUGUUGAGUUAUAUUGUGAAGUGCUUGGAGGCAAGCACAAGAUAAAUGUGGAGGAGUUUAAUAGUGUGUAAAAACAUCAUCUUCAUUGCCCAUUUUUAAGUACUUAAUUGAAUUGUUUGCUAUCUAAAUUAAACUAUUUUAUUCAUUUUGAUAUAAGACAGAAGAUGGAGCCUAAGUCAAAAAAAUAACAAAAAAAGAGCAGAUUUCAUAAAGCAACUGUCAGUCAUGGUAUAAGCCUCAAUCAAGACUUAAACCCUACAGCAACAACAGACUUUGGCUCGCACACAAUCAAGCCUUGGGGAAAGCUAAUGCAUUAGAAAGGGCUAUAGGUUUUAGGUACACCUGACUAAGCCUCGGUCAAGGCUUAGACACGUGCAAUAGUAUAUUUUAAAAAAAGGCACAUUACCGAAGUAAAAGAAGAAAUCCCAUUGCAACCAUAAGAGGAAAUCAAGAAUCAAGGAAGAGAUUAUUUUGGAAAGCAAGAAGGAAGUCGAAAUCAUUAGGAAAGAUCUCUAUCUUUGCAAAAAGAAAACCCUAAUCCUCCUGGGGUUUAAAAGGAGAAGAAAACCAGAGAAGAAGGCAUCAUGGAUGCUACACACUGCAACACUUGUAGCUUUCUAAAAUUUUCUUCCUUUUUUCUCUUUUCAAUAGUCAUAAAACUCUAUUAUGUACUAAGCCCAUCAUGAGUUGCUGGUAACUUUCUUUUCCAGUUACAGAUUUAGUGAAAAUUCUAGUUUGAAUUGUGAGAUAUAAUGGCUUUAUUUCUUGUUUCAUUAAAGCUUCGAUAUUCGUUUAUUUCUCUAUGCGUAUUAUUGUUGCUCCUUGUUAACCAUUUGAAUAGGGCCUGUUAGCACGCGACAAGCAACAUACUACCAUCCAAAUACUAAUCCGUAAUUAUUUGGGUUGUUUCGAUACUCAGUGGUAAAUUAGCCUCUGAGCUAAGGAUAUAAGUGAUCUAGUUGAGUGGGUCACACGGUUGAAUUCGACAACUAUAACUAAGUUCUUCAAGUUUUCAAGGUUAUUGAUAAAUUAAAUUCUAGGAACAUUUCCAGAGCUAUUUAUCAACAAAAAUCAAUUAAUGAACAUUUUUUGGUUGAUUUAGGAUUAAGAAAGAAUCGGUUGUCAGAACAUUUCUGAUAACCAGAACUAGUUUGUCGAGCUUUAGUAAGACCAAUCAUUGCAUUAAUGAUUAAUUUCACUACUGGAAUCUAGCUACUCCUUUAAUUGGGAUCAUUCUUAUAUCUACUUAUUUCUUUGAUUGUCUUUUGUUUCUUUGUUUAAAUUUUAGCCUAGUAGUUUGUUUCUUUUCAUCGUUUGAACUUAAAGAAAAACCCCAUGCUCUUAUUUUUCGUUGGUCAAAGAAGAAAAGUUGUUCUUGAUUCCCUAAGGAUUCGACCCUAUUUACCACUAUUAUAAUUCUAUUUUGUUGGUUGAAUAUGACUUUUAUUUUUGGUGGAUUUGAUACCCAUAAACAAUACAUCUUAUUUUUUUCAUAAUUGGACACCUAUAUCUUAUUGUACAAUGUCAUUUAAAUCAUUAUUAAAGAGGGCAGUAAAGAUCACCUCUAUCAACGUGAACACAAUCAUAGAAAUAGUGAAAACUAAAAUAUGCUUCCACUAUACGGGACUCACUAAUCGACCGACAUCAGCAACAUACACACCCACCCCUCAACGGACAUAGUAUAGUAUAACAUAUUAGAUAUUUUUUGCAUGGGUUCACUAAUCAACCAAAAUAAGCCAUACACACAUCUAUCCAUCUGUAACACCCCACUCACCACUGUGUUUAAUUUAUAUUUGAAAAAUCCUAUUUAUUUGGGUCUUAUGGUCACACUAAACUCAUUUAUUUUAUUCCGCAGCUUAUUAUCGUGAUUCGUAAAUUAUGUUUAUUUUUAUUUUGUUUAAUUUUAUUUAAUUUUAUUUUGAUUUAAUUGUUUAAUCGUCAUUUUUUUUUAAAUAAACGAUUUUCAGAAAAAAUAAAAAAUAGGGAGAAAAAUCUUGCGAGAUUCUGCCCACGUGGGCGCCCGUGUGGUGUGUGCGCUCGUGCACACUUCCCAUCGCGCGGCGUAGAGGACAGGCCUGCGCACGCGUCUUGUCACGCACAGGCAGGACCUGUCCACGUGCGUCACAUUGCGUGCAAACAGGUAGGCGCCACACACUGUGUGCGGCCAUUCGUGCAAUAAGCCUGCAUGAAUUGGCUUGCGCGCCUUGGGCCUGUGCUCGGCUCCUCACCACGCCUUGGCCCUGUGCACAUAGGCCAGUUCCUGCGGCAGGGUAGACUGGCGCCUAAAGGCUAGGCCUACAAUGAGCACUAGGCAAAUGAGGCCAUUGCCACCUCGGACAGUGUGUCGUCGCCCAUCUUGGGUGGCAUGCUGCUGCUUAAGGUGUCGCCACCAGUGGAGGAGGUUUUUUUCCUCCGUUUUUCAUACUAAAUCUUUUUACUCUCUCUCCACCAGAUUUUACCACUUGGCACAAAUCCAAUGGCCUCCAUUUUCUAUAAAUAUGGGUCUUUCCUCCCAUUUUCUCUUCACUUUCAUUCUUCCACCUUUCAAGAGUUAGAGAGAGAGAAUGAGAGUGAUUUAGAGAGAGAAUGAGAGGAGAAAAAGAAGAAUGGUGUAGAAAAAAUUAUCAAGGUUUCGAUAAGAAAUUUAGUAUUUCUUUAGACAUCUUAAUGGAUAUUUUUAGACAAAAAAAAGGAUUAAAUUGAUAAUUCUAUGACUUUACGUAUUUUGCAUGCUCUAUGUUAGUAGACUUAAUAAGUUGAAUUGUUCUUGAUUUCGAGCAUACUAUAUGAGUUAUAGAUACUUGAUGAUUUGCAUAUAAUUAAAAUAAUAUAAAACAGGUAAGGCUAUAUAGAAAAAAAAAAAAAAAAAAAAAAGUAGAAUAAAGUAUGAAUGGUCCGAAGUAUGUACCUGUAUUGACAUGCAUAACGCAUUAAGUAUCUCAUUAGACUUUUUAUCUCUAAGGAGUAUCUAUUCCUCUAUCCCCAUUCGGGAUAUUUUUUUUUCCUCCCCCAUCUGGUAUGGAAAGACGUAAAAGGAAUGUUCCUUAUAGAUGACGGCAUACCCUCUGACGAGAGUAGUGAUGCAAAUAUCUGUUAGGAGUCACAUUUAGUUAAAUAUUUUCGUAACUAUAGAAUAUUUUAUAGGAUCACUAUGCUUGGUACGACCAUGGUCAUAGAUCGUACCAUGGUUUGGCAAUCCGGAAAUGUCUCUGAGUAAAUUGUCAUUAUCUCUAUCUAAUCUGGUCAUUCUAAAUGGAUAGUCGAAAAUUUAUAUCUGCCUUCAAAGAUAUAAGCCGUAACGACUUUACGAAGCAUGACACAAAAAUCUGAGUAUUUCAUUAUUUAUUUGAUUUUCUCUAUUGUUAGGUAUACUGUGUUUUAUUUUAAUUGUUGACUAUAACGUGAUUUUUUUUAAUAAGUAAAUUAUUUUCAUAAGGUAAGAUAGAUCUACGACGUACCUAAAUGGUAAGUAUUUAUGUUAGAAUUAUUCACCUUUUAAAACCUUAUGAUGUUAACUAAAUACUAUUUUUCUUACUGAGCAUAUGAAACUUACUUUUUCUAUGCUCCCAGAUGAGGAAGAUGAUGAGGAACCAUCAGCUGAUAUACCCAUUGAACUUUAUGAGGAUCCCAUAGAUCUGCAUACUUUGAGUGCAUGAUCGUCCUCGCACUCUGAUGAGUCCAAUAGUAUAAUGAUAGAAGUGGCUCUCUUUUGUAUUUUGACAUUGUAUUUUCCGGUCACUUCUGGCCUCACUUAUAUAUAUAUAUAAUUGAAACUCAUAUAUUUAUAAGGAAUUUGUAUUAAUUUGCUUUGUUACAUAUAAUUUUUAUCAUGCACUCGUAAUUUUUUUUCUGUAUCUGACACCUCAAUGCCUUAAUUAGCGUCUGAGAUGUCACACCAUCCAAGAACAUAACCACUGCAAUCACAUCUAUAUCAUACCGCAUAGCAAGUACAAUGCACUAUAAGUGUAAUUACAUCUAUACCGGACUACAUAGCAAGUACAAUGCACAUUACCAUAAAAUAUCUUUUUCGUCCACGUGAUAGGUUUCAUCAUCAACCAUAUCGACCGAAUCUCGGCCACACACACGCAUUAAUUUGCUUUCACAUUUUGAUUUGAAUUUUCCCUUUAAUUUUAAAUUUUCGCUCAAUAGAUUAUAUAUUUAUUUCAUACCUUUUUUUUUAGUUAAUUAAUUUCUUUCCUUACGUAUUUUUCUCUAACUUUAACCUUCACAACGAACUUAACAUUUAAUAUCAUUCCAUUAAUAUUUUAUUCGUAUAGUUUCAUUAAUAAUUUUUGUUUAACCCUAUUUGUCUAUUUAGUUAAUUUUUUGUUGUACAUUUAUGACAAGGUUUAAUACUAACCCCACUCACAACCCUAUCGUACAUGGUAUUCUUCGAUAUAUUUAUAAAUAGGCUCUAUAAUAUACUUCUAAUUUAAUAUUUUUAUUAAUUUUUGUUGGUGAUAUUAAUUUCAAAUCCACUUCUGGUUUUAAUUUUUGGACCAAUAUCCUUAGUCAACCUAUUAGACAUUUUAUUUUGACCCAUUAUAUCAUUUUGGAUAAUUAAUUCACUCUUAUCAUAUGUUAUCAUUAAUACUAUUAUUGUUAUUAUAAUUAUUAUUACUAUAACUUAUUUAUUUAUUCUUUUCUUCCUUUUUGGGUCUCUAUUCAGUGGCCCACUUUCCUAUUGCCCAUUAAGAUAAUAGUUUUGAUUUUAGAAAAAGACUUGGCUCUACCCUUGAAAUUUCUAGUUCUGACUCCUUUAGAAAUUAUAUUUUCGGGCUUGACUCGUUUAAGCCAUUGGUUAGGAACCAUCUAUCUUUUAUAGGCUCAACCCAUUAAUAUGUUUUAGGUUCAGCCCAUUCAGAAAUCAAUUCCCCAUAACCCUAAAGUUUCCUACAUCUUAUCUCUCCACCCAUGAACACAGAAGGGUUUACAAAUUAUAUUUGUAACACUUCAUUUAUAAUCACAUGUAUAGAUUCCUAAUAGAUGAAAAUGGGUGUAUUUGGUCGUUUCUAAUCUACCAUUUUAAAGAUAUAUUUUAGAUAAACUAAUUUAGGAAUUGCUUCAGAUGUAUUAAAUUACAAUUAUGGGUUAAGAAACUAAAUCAAUCUUAGUCUUCUUAGAUUAAUGAUGGUGUGAGUUUGAUUUGCGAUGAUGAUUAUUGCUUUUCCCUAAGCUACACAUACACAAAAAAAAAAAAACCCACUUUGUCAUGAAAACCCAAAUCGACGAUGAAGUUCAUCCCAUUUUUGGGUCUAUGAAAAUGAAGGAAACACUUACCAAGAGACUCACCACUCAUUGCAUAAAUGUCUAAAAUCCCGAAUUAACUUCUAGCCUUAAGCCUUCUGCUGCACCUUCACCUUCUUCAACCUUUCGAAACACUUUCCCUUCUCUCUUCUGUCGCUUCGUUCGGGUUUAGGAUUAAGGUUUGUGUUUACUUUUUUUU